rnacentral:tRNA from 1 species
GGCCCUGUAGUGUAAUGGAAACACAAUAGUCUUUGAAACUAGAGAUUCCUGGUUCGAGCCCAGGCAGGGCCG